GCGCCCGUAGCUCAGGUGGACAGAGCAGGAGCCUUCUAAGCUCUUGGCCGGGGGUUCGAAUCCUCCCGGGCGCG
rnacentral:tRNA from 1 species